rnacentral:rRNA from 1 species
AUGAAGGCCCUGCGGCGAUCCAGCACCUCGUCUUCGUCCUCAUCCUCGUCGUCCCCGAGGACGCCAUCCUCGCCGCCGCCGUCUUCGUCGCGGAUCCACCGCCGUUCGCUUCUGCUCGUCGCCUCGUCGGCCUCCUCUUUGGCGGCGUUGGGGAAAUCGGCCGCGGCGGCUUCGGCUUCAGCGUCGCCGUUGCUUGCGGCAGAUUCCUCGUCGUUAUCCCCACCGAAUUCGGACCGAGGUGCAAUUAAAUCUCCAUGGUCUCGGAGGAAAAGAAAACAAGCACUCUCUUGUCAAAACUGGAGCCGUCUAUUUUCUGUGAAUGGGAAGUUUCGUGAUGGAGGAAGAAAAUUUCUGAAGAAAGUUCGCAGUGGGGGAAUUGAACCAGGUAUCAGGGCUGAAGUUUGGCCCUUUCUACUUGGAGUCUAUGAUUUAAAUAGUUCUGAAGAGGAAAGAAAUAUCAUCAAGACAAAGAAAAGGAAUGAGUACAAAAAGCUCAGGCGCAAAUGCCAUCAAAUUCUGAACUGCCAAAAGGGAUUUGGGCUAAAGGUCAUAAAUGAAAUCAACAAUGAGGGGUGUUCUCGUGGUGUGCCUUAUCUGCAAGAUGUUAGUGCAAGUGUUUCUGUAUCAGCCAAGGUAUUUAAUUGUUCAGGGAGCGAGGCAAACAGUCCGGAUAAUGCUGCCUGUGGUGCUGCAGAAUGCAUGGAUGAUGAUACAAGUGAGUUAACUUGUGUAGAUCCAUCUAUGGCAGAAUCAGAAUCUUCUGGCUCUGCAUCUUCUGAUGAAGAUGACCAUGGCCAGAUAUCCGUCUGUGCUGAUAUAGAAGAGAACUGCGCUCCAGAGCAUAAAUUUGUCAGGAGUACCUCGUCCAAGUCAGACUUCUUUAGAUCUAACAAAACUCCAGAGGAUUUUGCAACAUGGCAGCGCAUUAUACGUCUAGACGCUAUCCGGGCAAACACAGACUGGGCUUUAUUCUCCUGUAACCAGGAUGAAAUCUCCGAGGAAAAGGCAUUGCAGCGUGCAUUGUCUGUUGGUUUGAAAGAUUAUGACCAUUUAGAGCCUUAUAUGAUAUAUCAUGCUGCCCGGUUAGUUGCAUUGCUUGAGGCGUAUGCACUCUAUGAUCCAGAGAUUGGCUACUGCCAAGGUAUGAGUGACCUGUUGUCACCUAUAAUUGCGGUAAUGAAGGAAGACAAUGAAGCAUUUUGGUGCUUCGUGGGCUUCAUGAAGAAAGCUCGGCACAACUUCAGGCUGGAUGAGGUUGGAAUAAGAAGACAGUUGAAAACUGUCUCCCAGAUCAUCAAGCACAAAGACUCGCACCUCUAUAGACACCUGCAGAAGCUGCAGGCCGAGGACUGCUUCUUUGUGUACAGAAUGGUGUUGGUCCUCUUCAGGAGAGAGCUCACCUUUGAGCAGACUUUAUGCCUGUGGGAGGUGAUGUGGGCUGAUCAGGCCGCUGUUCGAGCUGGGAUCGGAAGGUCCACAUGGGGAAGGAUAAGGCUCCAUGCUCCUCCAACCGACGAUUUGUUGCUCUAUGCCAUUGCGGCCUGCGUCCUGCAGAGGAGGAGGCUGAUCAUCGAGAGGUACAGCAGCAUGGAUGAGAUACUGCGGGAGUGCCAUAGCAUGGCUGGGCAGCUUGACGUCUGGAGGCUUCUAGAUGAUGCGCAUGACUUGGUUGUUAAUCUCCAUAAUAAGAUCUGA